UACUUUAUCUUUAGGCAACCCACUACUUGCAAUAUCUCUAACAUAAAGAAUUAGAAUAGAGACAAUUUCUUCUGUCAUGAACGUAACAUCUCUGAUAGACCGAUGCACUCUUAAGUAGAGAAUUCCAGAGGCAACUGGAGAGAUCCCACCUGAGAGAUUGGACCCGAGUUGUUGAAGGCAAUUGAGACUUCAAGGAUUGCAGUUGUUGUGUUCUCCAAAAACUAUGCUACUUCGGACUGGUGCCUUGAUGAGCUGGUGAAGAUUGUGGACUGCAAAAGACUUUUAAAUCAAAGGGUGUUGCCUAUUUUCUAUGAUGUGUCUCAAUCUAAGGUGCUAGAACAUAAGGGAAUUUUUGCGGAGGCACUCCUAAAUGGGCCUAUAGACAAGAUGAACAAUUGGAGAGAUGCAUUGAUAGAGGCCGCAAACUUGGCACACUUGCAUUUGGAAGCAUAUUGGAGAACAAAGGGGAAGAGGGAAGAGAGAUCGGAGAGUCUGAGAGUGCUCAAUCUACGGCGACAGUGACGGUGACCCACCCAUCCACGACGAAGCUGAUAUAGCUAAUGGAGAGGCCCAGCUGAGUGGAGAUCGGCGACCUACCCAUCACGAAGUUAGUGCAAUGUUCUCCUCAUCGCUGCCAUCCUUGUCUUCUAUGUUCAUUAAUCGCUUCAGCACAAUGCUCCUUUGUUCCGUCACUCAUCUCAUCAUCCGCAUCAACAAACUCAAUCAACUCAUCAAGCGCCUGAAGACUCAUUCAGUAAUAUAUUACUAGAUCAUGUCUAUGUGACUGUGUCCUCCAUAUAAGCCAACAACUGUUAUGCCUUUCACAAAAUUUCUAUUUUAUUAGAUCGUGUUUUGAUUUUGAAUUUUUUGA